GUGAAAACUAAAGAAAAGAGAGUUCAAAGAUAAAAUCUUCACAAAAAUGGCAUUGCACAUUUACCAAUCUUUUCUAAUGGGACUUUUAUACAUUGGGCUGCGCCUCGCUUCGACAGGAGCAACACCAACACCAACACCACCAAGUUUGAACAAUGAUCCAGAUAUUGACACAUUUGGCUGCCUUCUAUAUUUGGAUUGCAUGUUUACUUGUUGUUGCAAAGAAAGAUGCAUGAAUCUGGGAUAUUCAAGAGGAGAAUGUUACAAUGGAGUCGGUUGUUGUUGUAUGGUUUAAAAUUAGGAUAAAUUACAUUAUUAUAAAAAACUUAUUUAUAUAUUUUACUAAAGAUCAAAUAAACAAUCUCAUAAAAUAAAUAAUAAAAACUCAAAUAAAUAAAGUAAGAAAUAUCUCUCUCCAAAGCUUUUAAUUUUCACUCUCGAAGGAUAUUAAGAUGUCAGCAGAAGAAAAAGUGGAAAGCAGUGGCCAAGCAUAACGUGAAGGAAUGAUGCAACCUGAGAAUAUAAUUAUGCUUUCAAGAAUUAGGGUAAAAGUUGUUUAGAUUAAAAACAUCCACUUAUGUUUGUGUUUUAAUACUGUAAAUGCUGUAUACUUUUAAUUAAAUAAUAAACACCAUUUUAGUUAAAUAA